rnacentral:rRNA from 1 species
AUGAACGCUGGCGGCGUGCCUAAGACAUGCAAGUCGAGUGGGUUUAGACCCACGGCGAACGGGUGAGUACAACCUGGGAACUUUGCUUAAGUUGAGGACAUCCUCCCGAAAGGGGGAGAGCAAUACUCAAUGUGGUAGUAAUACUAAAGUCGCAAGACGCUUAAGUUGAGGCCCGGGUCCCAUCAGCUAGUUGGUAGGGGUAAAAGCCUACCAAGGCUACGACGGGUAGCGGGGAGCGAGAGCUUGACCCGCCACACUGGGACUGGCGACACGGCCCAGACUCCUACGGGAGGCAGCAGUUUGGAAUUUUGGACAAUGGACGAAAGUCUGAUCCAGCGACGCGCGUGCACGAAGACGGUCUUCGGAUUGUAAGUGCUUUUGUUGGGGACAAAUUUUGAUGGUACCCAAAGAAUAAGAGGUUGCUAACUCUGUGCCAGCAGCAGCGGUAAUACAGAGACCUCAAGCGUUAUCCGGAAUCAUUGGGCGUAAAGCGUACCGAUAGGUGGUUUUGGUAGUUUUGGGUAAAAGCCAGAAGCUCAACUUCUGCGUUUGCUCAAAAUACUCCAAGACUAGAGGGACAAAGAGGUGGGCUGGAACGAACGGUUGUAGGUAGUGAAAUGCGUUGAUAUCGUUCGGAACACCGAAAGCGAAGGCAGGCCACUGGGUGUCCACCUGACACUGCUAGGACGAAAGCGUGGGAGCGAAUGGGAUUAGAUACCCCAGUAGUCCACGCUGUAAACGAUGAGUGCUAGGUAUUUGCGAGUAUCGACCCUCGUAUGUACCGUAGCUAACGCGUUAAGCACUCCGCCUGGGGAGUACGGCCGCAAGGCUAAAACUCAAAGGAAUUGACGGGGACCCGCACAAGCGGUGGAGCAUGUGGUUUAAUUCGACGGUAAGCGAGGAACCAUUACCAAGGCUUGACAUGUAGCUGCAAGCGCACGGAAACGUGUGACCUUCGAGGGUGCUACACAGGUGCUGCACGGUUGUCGUCAGCUCGUGUCGUGAGAUGUUCCCUUAAGUGGGGGAGGAACGAGCGCAACCCCCAUGUUAUGUUGAUUUUCAUAACAGACUGCCAGCGUUUAAGCUGGAGGAAGGUGGGGAUGACGUCAAAUCAGCGUGGCUCUUACGCCUUGGGCGACACACGUGCUACAAUGGGUAGGAACAAAGGGACGCAACAAUCGCAAGAUAGAGCAAAUCCUCUCAAAAACUACCCUCAGUUCAGAUUGUGGGCUGCAACUCGCCCGCAUGAAGCUGGAAUCGCUAGUAACCGUGAAUCAGCCUCGUCACGGUGAAUACGUUCUCGGGUUUUGUACACACCGCCCGUCACACCAUGGAAGUGGUCAAUACCCAAUAUUUGCGCAAGCGAACGAAGGUAAGAAUCAUGACUGGGGUG